rnacentral:rRNA from 1 species
AUGCUAAUCUCAUGGGCCAUUUGGAACGAACGGAAUGCGUGCGUCUUCCACCACAAGUGCAUGCCACCAAUGGUCAUACUCCAGAAUAUCAAGAAAGACGCGGCUCUAUGGGUGGCCGCCGGUGCAAAAAAAUUGGGUUCAAUCAUGCCGCGAGAGUAA